AUGCCAUCAGCACAAGUCUAUGGAGAACUUUGCAAAGCAACUCUAGCAAAAAUAAUAUUGUUUAACCGACGACGUGGAGGAAUGGUUGCAAAGAUGGAACUAAAAGGUUUUCUAGAGAGGGACACAGCUGCCCUACAUAAAGAUGUUGCUGUUGGGCUAACAAAGUUUGAACAAAAACUUUGUGCACAUUUCAGUUGGGUGGAAAUUAGGGGUAAAAGGGGACGAAAAGUUGCAGUCUUGUUAUCGCCAGACAUGACUGAUGCCUUAACACACCUCAUAAGCAGAAGACCAGAGUGUGGAGUCCCAGAAGAAAACACAUUCCUGUUUGCAAGACCCAACUAUUUAACUCCAUAUCGAGGACAAGACUGUCUGAGAAUUUAUGCAAAUGAGUGUGGUGCGCAAAACCCUGAACUCAUCCGGUCGACACAGUUACGCAAACAUGUUGCAACUUUGUCACAGGUCCUAAACCUCAAAAACCAUGAGUUGGACCAAGUUGCUGACUUUUUGGGCCACAAUAUUUGUGUCCACAGAGAGUAUUACAGGCUUCCGGAGGCUACAACCCAGCUGGCCAAAAUAUCUAAACUACUACUUGCCAUGGAGAAAGGUUCACUUACAAAUCUUCAGGGCAAAACACUAGAAGAGAUUGAAAUUGAAGAGGGAGAUCUGGCCAUAAUGGAGUUCACCCCAGAGUUCAGGAACCUGUUUUCCUCUUUUGUAGUGAUUCAGGAAAAUUAUCCUGUAAGGGGUGUUGCAAGAAGGAAACAAAAACAAAUAUGGUCUCCAACAGAAAUCGCUGCAGUAAUGAGACAUUUCCAGAACCACAUCGCAAGGUGUAAACUCGCCACUAAAAUUGAAUGUCAACAUUUCAAGAAUGCUUAGCAUCCAGUCACAAGAUACUCAAUAAGGUUUUUUUUUUACUUUUUUUUUUUUUUACUUUUUGCUUAUAUGCAAGAGAAACGUUCUUCUGCUGUUGAACAUCUGUUAAAGGAUUUAAUGUGCUUUCAUAAUACCGAAAAAUGUUCGGUAUUAACUUUUAUGUUUAUGAACAGUUAUAAUAUUAAAGUUCUCCUCCUCCACACAUUUGAGAGGGUUUAUUUUCUUUACACACAGGACAUUUCUUUAUUCACAAAAUGGUAGUGUAGGGCAACUACUGUAAUGCUGUAAACAAGAACUAAUUAAACCUUGCUCCUUGUUCACAGACUGUGCAUACUGUUAUGUGUCCUCAUGUCUAGUUUGAAUGUCGUGUCUUUGCUUAAAGACGAUCACCCAGUCUGGGUUUAUUUUGCAUUAACCGGCUAGAUGUACAUAAUCCUUUACAUCUCAUAAAUAGUAGGUCCUUGAAUGCACACUAUAAAAGGUAAGGUUGCAUAUUUACAUUACUAUACAAAAAUAUUAUACAUGCACAUUGCUGUUGUACUGUGUGCUGAGUCUGAUCAUUUGUCUUCAUAUAUCAGGUAUGUCCCUUUAAUACAACAUCUUCACUACUGUGUUUGUUAAAUCAUUUGUCCUCUUAUAUCAGGUAUGUCCCUUUAAUACACAAUAUCUUUACUGUUGUGUUUAAAUCAUUUGUCCUCUUAUAUCAGGUAACCAUUUUUUCCCAUCGUUAAACUAGCAAAAGUGGAUUUGAACACCCCCUGAGUGCACCGUGCGCUUUAGACCUUACACUUAGAUCAUUAAAAUAGGGCCCAAUAACUUUGCACCAGUCUUCUGCUGUCCAAUCCUUGUAUUUCCUGCAGAAUUUCAGUCUGUCCUUCAUGUUUUUCUUGAAGAAAAGUGACUUCUUUGCUGCCCUUCUUGACACCAGGCCAUUGUCCAAAAGUCUUGGCCUCACUGUGCAUGCAGAUGCACUCACACCAACUGCUGCAGUUCCUGAGCAAGCUCUACACUGCUGGAGACACGAUUACAGCUUACUCCUCAGGAGUUGAUGGUCCUGGCGCUUGCUGGACACACUGGGACGUUCUGAAGACUUCUUCACUGCAGUCGAGCCUCUCGAUCUCCUUGAAGUUAUUGAUGAUCCGGAAAAUGGAUUUUUCAGGUGCAAUAUUAUUUGCAGCAAUUUCCUUGCAUGUGAGGCCAUUUUGAUGCAAAGUGAUGAUGGCUGCACAUGUUUCUUUGGAAGUAACCAUUGUUAACAAGAACACCACCUUUCAUAGCAAUCAGUCUGCUCUUACGGUCUAAUUAGUAUGAUAGUGAUUUCACCUGACUAGACUAGGAUGACCUGAGGGUGAGUAAUGUAUGGGCUAAUUUUAAUUUUUGGGUGAACUAACCUUUUAACUAAAACAACUCUCUGUCUUUUAUUCACUCUAAGAGAAAUUGAAGCCGCCACUUACCGGGUUUUUAUGGCCGCCAAGUUAUUCGUUCACCUGCUGGUUCAGCUUGAGCCAUCGCUGCAGUAGUGCAUCCGUGAGCUCCUGACGUUAGCGGAGGCUGGCAACAGCUUCCACAAGAAAACGGUGACUGCGAGUGUGGAUGGCGGGGUGGCCAGCAUCGCUGGCAGCAUCACCACCAUCAGCGACCUGGUUCUGGUGCCCUUCACCUUCGGGCUGUCCCUCAUUGUUACGGCAGUGGGCAUUGGUGUGGUAACCACUGGCAGCGUGAUGUCAGUUUCGGGAAACAUCACCGUCACAGUUCUCCUCUGGCCAGACAAAACCAGCAGUUCAGUUCCAGGCUGCAAACAAAGUCAGAUUGUGCAGAGGACUAUGGUUCCUGUGGUCUUGUCCCAGUGGUCAUCUGAGACAAGGUUUUUACAGGGUAUCUGCGGCUCAUCUAGUUGUCCUGGUCUCAGCUGACUUUCGGGUCUGUAGAUGUCCUCUCUAGGUGCUGACCCACCAUCUGGUCUGGAUACGUACUGGAUCCGGGUGACUGCAGUGACCCUCUGACUUGGAUACAGACUGGAUCUGGUGGCUACAGUGACCUUGGAAUAAGAGAGAAACAGACUAAUAUUAGCGUAGAUGCCAUUCUUCUAACGAUGUAGUAAGUACAUCAGGUGUUAUGGGAAGUGUUCCCGGUUCCGGUUUACCUAAUUAAUGCAACCUAAAAAUCCUUUAACGGAUUUGGAUAUUAGAAGCGUAUUAGUGUGCUAUGUGUAAGCAAGGUUAAAGAGAUGGGUCCUUAAUCUAGAUUUAAACUGCAAGAGUGUGUCUGCCUCCCGAACAAUGUUAGGUAGGUUAUUCCAGAGUUUGGGCUCUAAAUAGGAAAAGGAUCUGCCGACCACAGUUGAUUUUGAUAUUCUAGAUAUUAUCAAACUGCCAGAGUUUUGAGAAUGCAGCGGACGUGGAGAACUAUAAUGUAACAAGAGCUUGUUCAAAUACUGAGGUGCUAAACCAUUCAGGGCUUUAUAAGUAAUAAGCAAGAUUUUAAAAUCUAUACAAUGUUUAAUAGGAAGCCAGUGCAGUGUUGACAGAACCGGGCUAAUAUGAUCAUACUUCCUGGUUCUAGUAAGAACUCUAGCUGCUGCAUUUUGGACUAAUUGUAGUUUGUUUAUUAAGUGUACAGAACAACCACCCAAUAAAGCAUUACAAUAAUCUAACCUUGAGGUCA
ensembl:lncRNA